rnacentral:rRNA from 1 species
UAAUAAGCUAUUAAGGGCUAAUGGUGGAUGCCUAGACUGUAAGAGGCGAUGAAAGACGUAUUAGGCUGCGAUAAGCCUCGGGGAGCUGCCAAAGAGCUUUGAUCCGGGGAUUUCUGAAUGGGGCAACCCAAUAUAAUGAGAAUUAUAUUACCCUACGGGGAGCGAACCUAGUGAAGUGAAACAUCUCAGUAGCUAGAGGAAGAGAAAUCAAACGAGAUUCCCAAAGUAGCGGCGAGCGAAAUGGGAUUAGGACAAACCCAAUGCUUGCAUUGGGGGUUGUAGGACCAUGAUAUGAGACUAAAGAGGAUAGAUGAAAUACUUGGAAAAGUGUAGCAUAGAAGGUGAAACUCCUGUAAUUAAAAUUCUCAAUAGCUCUAAUGGUAUCCUGAGUAGGUCGGAACACGUGAUAUUUUGACUGAAGCCGGGGGGACCACCCUCCAAUCCUAAAUACUACUUACAGAUCGAUAGUGAACAAGUACCGUGAGGGAAAGGUGAAAAGUACUCCAGCGAGGAGAGUGAAAUAGAACCUGAAACCAUUAGCUUACAAUCAUUCAGAGCCCUAUGAUUUAUCAGGGUGAUGGACUGCCUUUUGCAUAAUGAGCCUGCGAGUUGUGGUAUCUGGCAAGGUUAAGUCAAGUACGAAGCCGUAGCGAAAGCGAGUCUUAAUAGGGCGAAUUAGUCAGAUGCUGCAGACCCGAAACGAAGUGAUCUAUCCAUGAGCAGGUUGAAGCUGGUGUAAGAGCCAGUGGAGGACCGAACCCGCAGGCGUUGAAAAGUCUUGGGAUGACUUGUGGAUAGGGGUGAAAGGCCAAUCAAACUUCGUGAUAGCUGGUUCUCUCCGAAAUAUAUUUAGGUAUAGCCUUGUGUUGUAGCAUAUGGGGGUAGAGCACUGAAUGGGCUAGGGCUGCUUACCGCGGUACCAAACCCUAUCAAACUAUGAAUACUAUAUGUGGAAUCACAGGAGUCAGGCGGUGGGUGAUAAAAUCAAUCGUCGAGAGGGGAACAACCCAGACUAACAGCUAAGGUCCCUAAGUUACAUCUAAGUGGAAAACGAUGUGGAGUUACUGUGACAACCAGGAGGUUGGCUUAGAAGCAGCCAUCCUUUAAAGAAAGCGUAACAGCUCACUGGUCUAGUGAUUCUGCGCGGAAAAUAUAACGGGG